rfam:Glycine soja cultivar W05 scaffold786_32, whole genome shotgun sequence.
UUAAUAAAAAACGUUGAUUGUCAUAUGUCAUUAUGUAAUUGAUCGUUGACUAUCACAUGCCAUUAAUUAGAUAAUGACAUGUGACAAUCAACGUUU